AGCAAGGGUGGAUGGGUUAGAAGGAACCCUCUUUAGGGUUAGAACGAAUAUUCAGAUAAGGAAGCCUUGUCCUGGGAUGUAGGGGCGGGCCUAAGGCUGCGCAUGCGCCUUAAGGAAACAGGCCUAUGCAUACUUUGUAUAUUAUGUAAAGGAGGUUUGUGCUCCUUCUUGGGCGGAGAUCUUAGUAUUAUAAUGAGCUACAGGUAGUUGUCAGUCAUUCUAGUGGUCGCUCUAUCUGCGCAGGCGCCAGUCAGGGGUUUUGCUCACACCGGUCUGGGUGGUCCGGGCCUGCUGGAGGUCGCUAUCGGUGGAGGGGCAGUUUCAGUUCCACUUGACCUGUAUUAAGAGAUAAGCUGGAAAGAAGAGCUGAAGGAAAAAUGUGGGACGAAGGUCGGCUAACUGUAAGAUGACUGUCAAGAUAUGGACUGAUUUACAUCGCUCUGUUCAACCAGAUUGUAGAGUUCUGAUGAUACAGCCAGGAACUUGGGAUCAUGUACUUUACCUGAACCCACUGAAACAAACAUAUAAAACCACAAAGACUGAGAAGCCACGAAUACUGGUUGAAGAGCGUGCUUUUGUUUCAUGUUCUCAAACAAUUAAAAACAAUAAUAAAGAUAAAAAUUCA